rnacentral:snRNA from 1 species
AUUGCUUCUUAGCCUUUUGGCUAUGAUCAAGUGCAGUAUCUGGUCUUAUCAGUUUAAAAGAAAAUAUAGACAAGAUCGAUCUGAGUGGCUCAGUUGGUAAUGUGUCUGCCUUUGGCUCAGGUAAUGGUCUCAGGGUCCUGGGAUGGAGCCCCACAUUGGGCUCCCUGCUCAGCGGGGAGUCUGCUUCUCCCUCUCCCUUUUGCCCCCCCA